rnacentral:tRNA from 1 species
AAAAUUGUUCAAUUCUAUUGUUAGUGUUGCAUUGUUGAUAACAUUCGAUUCACAAGUCGAGAAUUAAUACAGUAUCGGCUAGAAGCUACAAAUUUUCUGUUGUUUGUGGCUUCUUUCGGAUUAGGAAAUCUCCAUGGGACCCAAGGAGAAAAGGACGCACUUCAUUCAAUGUACAGGUGCCCUUGCUUUUUACCUUGAAGAUAGGCACGAAAAAAACGUAACUUAGCAAACAGAAAAGAAAGAACGUUUGGGAAUAUAUUGAAACACCACUUCCUUUAAUGAAGUUAACUUAAAUUUUAUGAAAAUUUUUGUCAAAGAACUUGUGACGUUACGUUUCAAAGGGAUAAAAAGUAUGAUAUUGCCAUACAAUUGAUAGGAAACUUGUCUUUAAGUAAAGAUAAGAAACAUUUAGAACGAAUUCAUACAAUCCGCAUAUUAAGCGGAAAUUAUGUGAAAGAUAAGGAAGAAUAAUAAAAAGGCUCAGCAGGGGUUCGAACCCUGGAUCUUCGGUUUACAAGACCGACGCCGUACCACUUGGCCACUGAGCCACUCUGUUAUUAAUUCGGAAAAGUAAAUAUUAUAACAAAAUUUGUUUUCGUUUCCUUGUUUUUGGUUCCUUUGAAGUUAACAUAGCAUUCAAUACUGUAAAACGAUUUACGUAUGACUCAUCUCAGCCACCUGCAUAAGAAUGCGUUCUCAGAGGAAGCGGCAUAAACUAAAUCAGCGCAAAAUUAAUCCAUUAUACUUGUCAGCAUUAUAUAGUACUGUAUCAUGAAGCGAAGAGAUGCCUUCCAGGUCGUUCAAAAAUUUAU